AUUUCUUUUUGUCACCAUGACCUCUAAUAGGUGCCUCACUUAUGCUAGAUGACCCAUUGUCAUUGGUUUGUAGCCGGAUAGUGGAUUCCUCUCUGCUUAAAACAGCUAACCAUAUUGAGCUCUCCUUUGCCGUCAUCUUAUCCUGUAAACACUUUGACUGCCGCACUAGUCUCCUGAUCUUUGCAAUAUCAGGUGACAUAUGCUUUAUAACAGCAGUUAGAACACCAACUUUAAACAUUUUCUUUAAAUCAUGUGGCUUCUUAUACGGUGGUUUCUGACCCUUAGGCAGACCCAUUUUCACCCACCAUUCGUCAUUCCCUGAUGGCCACCACGGUGGUGAGACACCUUUCUCCAAUGGGUACUUCCGCUGAGGUGGAUCGCAAUGUUGCAUUAAAGAAGACAAAA
rnacentral:misc_RNA from 1 species